GAUGGGUCUGCGGUCUAUCAGGUUGUAGUGGGUGUAAUGUACCUACUAGCCUACGACGGAUACGGGUUGUGGGAGCAAGAGCCCGGAGAUGGAUUCUGAGACAUGAAUCCAGGCCCUACGGGGCGCAGCAGGCGCGAAAACUUUACAAUGCGGGAAACCGCGAUAAGGGGACACCGAGUGCCAGCAUCCUAUGUUGGCUGUCCAUAUGUCUAAAUCACAUGUGUUAGCAAGGGCCGGGCAAGACCGGUGCCAGCCGCCGCGGUAACACCGGCGGCCCGAGUGGUGGCCACUAUUAUUGGGUCUAAAGGGUCCGUAGCCGGUUUGGUCAGUCUUCCGGGAAAUCUGACGGCUCAACCGUUAGGCUUUCGGGGGAUACUACCAGGCUUGGGACCGGGAGAGGUAAGAGGUACUACGGGGGUAGGAGUGAAAUCUUGUAAUCCCUGUGGGACCACCAUUGGCGAAGGCGUCUUACCAGAACGGGUCCGACGGUGAGGGACGAAAGCUGGGGGCACGAACCGGAUUAGAUACCCGGGUAGUCCCAGCUGUAAACUAUGCUCGCUAGGUGUCAGGGACGGUGCGACCGUUUCUGGUGCCGCAGGGAAGCCGUGAAGCGAGCCACCUGGGAAGUACGGCCGCAAGGCUGAAACUUAAAGGAAUUGGCGGGGGAGCAC
rnacentral:rRNA from 1 species